UACGAAGGGGGCUAGCGUUGCUCGGAAUCACUGGGCGUAAAGGGUGCGUAGGCGGUCGGGUAAGUCUGAUGUGAAAUCUCACAGCUUAACUGUGAAACUGCAUUGGAUACUAUCCGACUCGAGGAAUGGAGGGGAGACUGGAAUUCUCGGUGUAGCAGUGAAAUGCGUAGAUAUCGAGAGGAACACCAGUGGCGAAGGCGAGUCUCUGGACAUUUCCUGACGCUGAGGCACGAAAGCCAGGGGAGCAAACGGG
rnacentral:rRNA from 1 species